CUGAAUAACUACGCUGAUCGCACAGUCUAGUACUGGCGACAUAUCCUUCAAGUGUCUGCCUUAUCAACUGUCGAUGGUAGUUUAUAUGACUACCAUGGUUGUAACGGGUAACGGAGAAUAAGGGUUCGACUCCGGAGAGGGAGCCUGAGAAACGGCUACCACAUCCAAGGAAGGCAGCAGGCGCGCAAAUUACCCACUCUCAGAACGAGGAGGUAGUGACGAAAAAUAACGAGACAGUUCUCUAUGAGGUCUGUCAUCGGAAUGGGUACAAUUUAAACCCUUUAACGAGGAUCUAUUGGAGGGCAAGUCUGGUGCCAGCAGCCGCGGUAAUUCCAGCUCCAAUAGCGUAUAUUAAUGUUGCUGCGGUUAAAAAG
rnacentral:rRNA from 1 species